rnacentral:rRNA from 1 species
UGCGCAGGCGGUUUCGUAAGACAGAUGUGAAAUCCCCGGGCUUAACCUGGGAACUGCAUUUGUGACUGCGAGACUAGAGUACGGCAGAGGGGGGUAGAAUUCCACGUGUAGCAGUGAAAUGCGUAGAUAUGUGGAGGAAUACCGAUGGCGAAGGCAGCCCCCUGGGUCGAUACUGACGCUCAUGCACGAAAGCGUGGGGAGCAAACAGGAUUAGAUACCCUGGUAGUCCACGCCCUAAACGAUGUCAACUAGGUGUUGGGGGAGAGACUUCCUUAGUACCGCAGCUAACGCGUGAAGUUGACCGCCUGGGGAGUACGGCCGCAAGGUUGAA